UCUUAAGUGGCUCGUCUCUCCUCUCUGUGUUCCGUUGUAGUUCAGUUGCCAUCCAACUAAGUUAAGGUGUCCUGCUCCAGCUCUUUUUAGAUUGGGUAACUCCUUUUUAAUGUUGUUUUGCCAAGGUGCUUGAGGUGGGGGUUUAUAAGCUCUCUAUAUUUUCUCGUGUGCCAUUGGCGGACGUUGCCAUUGCUCUGCUUUGUGGGUUUGUAGGUGUCUGUUCACAGACAACAUGUUGCCACCCAAUCUUUUCCCCGAAGUUAAGAGCAGGGGAAAAAAAAAGAUGUCCUAAGGGGAAGCAACGACCGUUAGCUCAUAUCAGACCAAAAUUCUCCACGGGCUCUAUAGAUAAGUUUAGGAAGUUACAAGCAUGCGAGGUUGACAUGGGAAGAAAAUUCAGGCUUGAAAACAAUUUGGAGCGUCCGGAAUCUGGGCAAACUUUUUGGCGAGACUGAUUAAACUUCAUUAAUCAAAAUCCCCGCUUAUUCUAUCCUUAUUUCAGAAAAUGGUGAAGCCCAGCUAGCAUGUGAUUCAGUGGAGUUAUUGGCAUAUUAAUCAAAGCAUUUGGAGCUACAUAAAACUACCAACAUAGAUCAUUGAAACUUUGUAUGUUAUACAUCAAAGCAGAAUCCUCCAGAGGUAAAUCUCAUACACUGCUAAAGGUAAGGACAAGAUAACUUCAUGUAUUGAUGAUGGCACUAUAAUAUCUGUACAUUCCACAGGACAAGCAGGAAUUAAUUGCUAUAAAACCUUCAACAUGAAUUGAUUCCGAUUA